rnacentral:rRNA from 1 species
AUUGAACGCUGGCGGCAGGCCUAACACAUGCAAGUCGAACGGUAACAGGAAGAAGCUUGCUUCUUUGCUGACGAGUGGCGGACGGGUGAGUAAUGUCUGGGAAACUGCCUGAUGGAGGGGGAUAACUACUGGAAACGGUAGCUAAUACCGCAUAACGUCGCAAGACCAAAGAGGGGGACCUUCGGGCCUCUUGCCAUCGGCUGUGCCCAGAUGGGAUUAGCUAGUAGGUGGGGUAACGGCUCACCUAGGCGACGAUCCCUAGCUGGUCUGAGAGGAUGACCAGCCACACUGGAACUGAGGCACGGUCCAGACUCCUACGGGAGGCAGCAGUGGGGAAUAUUGCACAAUGGGCGCAAGCCUGAUGCAGCCAUGCCGCGUGUAUGAAGAAGGCCUUCGGGUUGUAAAGUACUUUCAGCGGGGAGGAAGGGAGUAAAGUUAAUACCUUUGCUCAUUGACGUUACCCGCAGAAGAAGCACCGGCUAACUCCGUG